rnacentral:tRNA from 16 species
GCCCAGAUGGCGGAAUUGGUAGACGCGCACGGUUCAGGUCCGUGUACCGCAAGGUGUGGAAGUUCGAGUCUUCUUCUGGGCACCA